rnacentral:lncRNA from 1 species
GAGGGGAUGUCCUUCAGGUUAAAGCUGUUCAUGAGCGGGAGAGUGGUGCUGCCCUUCCCCAUGCUGUGAUUGAGGUUGGUGGAUGACACGGUGCCAAGGCUGGAGUAGAUGAUCCGGAGCAUCGUCCACGUUUGAGCCACCUGGUUGCGGUCCAAGCCCUUGGCCACCUUGGCAUUGUGGUCGCAGAGCUCAGCCAGGGGCCUGCCAGCCAGUGCAUACUGCUUGGCAG